AUGGCGGUCACCAUGGCUCCCGUCCUCGCUUUGCCGGACUUCACACGGCCGUUCAUCAUCGAGUGUGACGCCUCUACGUAUGGCUUCGGGGCUGUCCUUCUUCAGGACCAGCACCCGGUGGCUUUCUUUAGCCGGCCGGCCGCGCCACGUCACCGUUCCCUGGCAGCAUAUGAACGGGAACUCAUCGGCCUAGUGCUCGCUAUUCGUCAUUGGAGACCAUACCUCUGGGGGCGCCAAUUUGUGGUAAAAACUGAUCACUACAAUCUCAAAUUCCUACUUGACCAGCGUUUGGCAACCAUUCCGCAGCAUCAUUGGGUCGGCAAACUACUGGGGUUCGACUUCACCGUGGAGUACAAGGCCGGUAGUACAAACACGGUGGUGGACGCCCUUUCCCGCCGCGACACAGAGGAGACGUCGGUCAUGGCGAUAUCGGGUCCUCGCUUUGACUUCAUCGAUCGCCUCCGGCAGGCUACGACAACCGACCCGGCGCUCGUCGUGCUGCGUGAGGAUAUCGCGACGGGUACACGGCAGCAGCCGUGGUCGCUCUCCGACGGUCUCGUCACUUUCAACGGCCGCCUCUACAUUCCGCCGUCAUCCCCGCUACUCCAGGAGCUCCUCACCGCAGUGCAUGACGACGGGCACGAAGGCGUCCUGCGCACCCUGCAUCGUCUCCGCCGCGACUUCCAUGCACCUAACCUUCACAAGCCGGUGCAAGAGUAUGUCCACGCCUGCGGUACUUGCCAGAGGUACAAGUCCGAGCACUUGCACCCCGCCGGUCUGCUGCUGCCGCUGCCGGUGCCCACGGGUGUGUGGACUGACAUCGGCAUCGACUUCGUGGAAGCGCUCCCUCGCGUGGGCGGGAAGUCCAUCAUCCUCACCGUGGUGGAUCGCUUCAGCAAGUACUGCCACUUUGUGGCGCUGGCCCACCCGUACACGGCAGAGUCGGUGGCACAGGUGUUCUUCGCCGAGAUCGUGCGCCUCCAUGGCGUUCCGCAGUCCAUGGUUUCGGACCGCAACCCCGUCUUCACCUCGGCAUUUUGGUGGGAGCUUAUGCGCCUCACCGGGACGAAGCUGCACAUGACGUCGGCGUUUCAUCCUCAGUCGGAUGGACAAACGGAGGCUGCUAACAAGAUCAUUGUUAUGUACCUGCGUUGCCUCACAGGGGAUCAUCCGCGACAGUGGCUACGGUGGCUUCCCUGGGCCGAGUACAUCUACAACACCGCCUACCAGACGGUGACCCAAGAAACUCCGUUCAAGCUCGUGUAUGGACGCGACCCUCCCACUAUUCGCUCUUACGAGCCAGGCGACACGAGGGUGGCGGCCGUGGCAGAAAGCAUGGCGGAGCGAGACGAGCUACUCGCUGAUGUCCGCUAUCGACUACAGCAGGCGGCAGGCGGUCUACAAGUCCUACUACGACAGACGCCAUCGCGACGUCCGGCAUGUAGUGGGAGAUUGGGUGUGGCUUCGUCUUCGCCAGCGCGCUGCCUCUUCCCUCAACUUGCCAACCAGGGGCAAGCUCAAGCCACGCUUCUACGGGCCAUACCGCAUUUCCGAGGUCGUCAACGACGUCGCCUACCGCCUUGA
rnacentral:rRNA from 1 species